rnacentral:rRNA from 1 species
CAGCCNGNCCGGNGACUNUGUUUAACGGCCGCGGUAUCCUAACCGUGCGAAGGUAGCGUAAUCACUUGUUCUUUAAAUGAGGACUAGUAUGAACGGCGCCACGAGGAUUACACUGUCUCCUUUCCACAAUCAGUGAAACUGAUCUUCCCGUGAAGAAGCGGGAAUGAAAAUAUAAGACGAGAAGACCCUAUGGAGCUUUAAACUAUAUUACAUUUGUUUGUUUAUUCAUAAUUCCAGAAAAAUAAAAAUUUACUAAAACAUUAUGAUUUUAAGUUUUCGGUUGGGGUGACCGCGGAGUAAAACACAACCUCCGCACUGAAUAAGACUAUUUCUUUAGCUAAAAACUACAUCUUAAAGCAUCAAUAAAUUGACAUUAUUGACCCAAUAUUUUGAUCAACGAACCAAGUUACCCUAGGGAUAACAGCGCAAUCCACUUCAAGAGCUCAUAUCGACAAGUGGGUUUACGACCUCGAUGUUGGAUCAGGGUGUCCCAGUGGUGCAGCCGCUACUAAAGGUUCGUUUGUUCAACGAUUAAAAUCCUACGUGAUCUGAGUUCA